rnacentral:rRNA from 1 species
AACGAACGCUGGCGGUAUGCCUAAUACAUGCAAGUCGCACGAGAAAGUCCUUCGGGAUGAGUAGAGUGGCGCACGGGAGAGCAAUACAUAGGAACGUACCUUAGGGUGGGGGAUAACCACGGGAAACUGUGGCUAAUACCGCAUGAUGUCGCAAGACCAAAGCAGGCCUCUAUUCAUAAGUCUGUACCCUUAGAGCGGCCUAUGCCCCAUUAGCAAGUUGGUGAGGUAAUGGCUCACCAAGGCGACGAUGGGUAGCUGGUCUGAGAGGACGAUCAGCCUCACUGGGACUGAGACACGGCCCAGACUCCUACGGGAGGCAGCAGUAGGGAAUUUUGCACAAUGGGCGCAAGCCUGAUGCAGCAAUACCGCGUGAGUGAAGAAGGCCCUUGGGUUGUAAAGCUCCUUCGGCCGGGAAGAAAUCGUAUCAGCUAAUACCUGGUGCGGAUGACGGUACCGGCAUAAGAAGCACCGGCUAACUACGUGCCAGCCGCCGCCGUAAAAC